AUUUGGAAUGUUAGAUUAGUGAACUAUAUCUGGGUUUGGCUGUGAAGAUUGAACCUAACUAUUAUUAUCAACAGUAGAUUACUUAGGUGUUGUGUGGUUUGCCGAUGGCUCGGUUGAUUCUGCCUUGCAAGGGUUCGAGUUUGUCGAAGACGUGUCUCUUGGGUUUGAUCUCCAAUGCUCCUUUUCAGGCAAGUUGCCGUGUUACUUCAGUUGGGCGCUCGAGGGAUAUCUGCAGAUACAAAAAAUACCUUACUUCAGAGGUUGCGCAUUGGAGGAGGUGUCAAAUCCCGCGUUUUCCAUUAGUUCAACCUAGAAGAAUUGACCGGAGAUUAAUCUGUUCAGUUGCAACUGAACCUCUACCAAAAGAAGUUGAAGAAUCCAAGAUGGAAGCACCAAAGGAAAUCUUUCUGAAGGAUUACAAACAACCUGAUUACUAUUUUGACACGUUGGAUCUGAAAUUCGCACUGGGUGAGGAAAGUACUAUUGUCGCUUCCAAAAUUGCUGUCAACCCCAGAGUUGAAGGUCAGUCUUUCCCACUUGUCCUAGAUGGGCGAGAUCUGAAGUUGCAAUCAGUUAAGAUCAACGGCAAUCCGCUGAAGGAGGAAGAUUUCCUCGUGGACUCGCGCCACCUGACUCUGAAAUCCCCUCCAAGUAGCAAAUUCACCUUGGAGAUUGUGACAGAAAUACAUCCUCAGAAGAACACAUCCUUAGAGGGUCUUUACAAGUCAUCAGGGAAUUUCUGCACCCAAUGUGAGGCUGAGGGUUUCCGUAAGAUUACGUUCUAUCAGGAUCGCCCUGACAUUAUGGCAAAAUACACUUGUCGCAUAGAGGCAGACAAAUCCUUGUAUCCUGUAUUGUUGUCAAAUGGAAACCUUAUAGAGCAAGGGGAUCUGGAGGGAGGAAAGCAUUAUACUCUUUGGGAGGAUCCUUUCAAGAAGCCCAGUUAUCUUUUUGCAUUGGUUGCUGGUCAGUUGGUGAGCAGAGAUGACACAUUUACAACCUGUUCAGGCCGUAAGGUCUCCCUUAGAAUCUGGACCCCUGCACAAGAUCUGCCCAAGACAGAACAUGCCAUGUAUUCUCUCAAGGCAGCUAUGAAGUGGGAUGAAGAUGUUUUCGGGCGGGAGUAUGACCUGGAUCUUUUUAAUAUUGUUGCUGUUCCAGAU
rnacentral:misc_RNA from 1 species